rnacentral:rRNA from 1 species
UACGGGGGGAGCAAGCGUUGUUCGGAUUUACUGGGCGUAAAGGGCGCGUAGGCGGCCACCGCAAGUCGACUGUGAAAUCUCCGGGCUUAACCCGGAAAGGUCAGCCGAUACUGCGGGGCUAGAGUGCAGAAGGGGCAACUGGAAUUCUCGGUGUAGCGGUGAAAUGCGUAGAUAUCAGGAGGAACACCGAUGGCGAAGGCAGCUCACUGGGACGGUACUGACGCUGAGGCGCGAAAGCGUGGGGAGCAAACAGG